rnacentral:rRNA from 1 species
GGUGAACGCUAGCGGCAGGCCUAAUACAUGCAAGUCGAACGGUGUCUUCGGGCAUAGUGGCGCACGGGUGCGUAACACGUAUGCAACCUACCUUACAUUGGGGGAUAGCCUUUCGAAAGGGAGAUUAAUACCGCAUAAGACAGUAGCUGGGCAUCCAGCAGCUGUUAAAGAUUUAUCGAUGUAAGCUGGGCAUGCGUCCAAUUAGCUAGUUGGUGAGGUAACGGCUCACCAAGGCAAUGAUUGGUAGGGGAACUGAGAGGUCAAUCCCCCACACUGGCACUGAGAUACGGGCCAGACUCCUACGGGAGGCAGCAGUAGGGAAUAUUGGGCAAUGGACGCAAGUCUGACCCAGCCAUGCCGCGUGCAGGAUGAAGGCGUUAUGCGUUGUAAACUGCUUUUAUACAGGAAGAAACGACUCUUGCGAGAGGCAUUGACGGUACUGUAUGAAUAAGCACCGGCUAACUCCGUGCCAGCCGCCGCAGUAAUAC